CGUAGGUGGCAAGCGUUGUCCGGAUUUAUUGGGUUUAAAGGGUGCGUAGGCGGCCCUGUAAGUCAGUGGUGAAAUACUCCAGCUUAACUGGAGGGGUGCCAUUGAUACUGCAGGGCUUGAGUACAGAUGAAGUAGGCGGAAUUGACGGUGUAGCGGUGAAAUGCAUAGAUAUCGUCAAGAACUCCGAUAGCGAAGGCAGCUUACUAAGCUGUAACUGACGCUGAGGCACGAAAGUGUGGGGAUCAAACAGGAUUAGAUACCCUGGUAGUCCACACUGUAAACGUUGAUGACUCGAUGUUGGCGAUACACAGCCAGCGUCCAAGAGCAAUCGUUAAGUCAUCCACCUGGGGAGUACGCCGGCAACGGUG
rnacentral:rRNA from 1 species